rnacentral:rRNA from 1 species
AUUGAACGCUGGCGGCAGGCCUAACACAUGCAAGUCGAGCGAGCGGCGGACGGGUGAGUAAUGUCUGGGAAACUGCCUGAUGGAGGGGGAUAACUACUGGAAACGGUAGCUAAUACCGCAUACCAUCGGAUGUGCCCAGAUUGGAUUAGCUAGUAGGGGGGGUAAAGGCUCACCUAGGCGACGAUCCCUAGCUGGCCUUAGAGGAUGACCAGCCACACUGGAACUGAGAGACGGUCCAGACUCCUACGGGAGGCAGCAGUGGGGAAUAUUGCACAAUGGGCGGAAGCCUGAUGCAGCCAUGCCGCGUGUAUGAAGAAGGCCUUCGGGUUGUAAAGUACUUUCAGCGGGGAGGCGUUACCCGCAGAAGAAGCACCGGCUAACUCCGUGCCAGCAGCCGCGGUAAUUC